rnacentral:lncRNA from 1 species
AUUUACAGCUGGAAGGGCAGACGGAGGCAUCUUGGUGUAUACACAGCCCUGCUGGGCCACAUCCCGGGUCUCCUCCCUCUGCGAUGCCAUAGCAGGGGCGCCUUCCGAAAGCCCUCUGGAUUGAGGCAGCAGGAUCUAUGGUGGAACCUGCCCCGGCGUCGCCAACGCCCCUAGGACCCCAGCACACUGACUGGGGAGCAUCCCUGUGUCGUUUCUGCCCGGAGAGGAGCAGAGGCCAGGCUGCUGCUCUGGGAGAUGAGACUUUCUGGUGCACCUGCACUUCCACAUGAGACUUCCGGGUGCACCUGCACUCCCAGAUGCAGACUUCCUGGUGCACCUGCACUUCCUGGUGCAGACUUCUUGGUUCAUCUGCAACUUCCUGGUGAGAAUCCCUUGGGCAUCUGCACUUCCUGAUGCACCUGCACUUCUAGUUAUUUUAGAGAAAACGUUCCCUGAACAUGCCACAUGCAGAGGAUGCUGGGUAUCAGGCUACCUUUGCUGGACAGCUCCAGGUAACUGCAUUUGCUCUGCCAAUGUUGGCUUUUUAAAAAUAGAAAACACAUAUAGACAAAUCCAUCACACACACAUGCACAGACACACACACACACACACACAGACAAAUCCAUCACACACACAUGCACAGACACACACACACAGAGUCAACGACAUAGGCUCACAAGUAGAGCUCUUCGUCUGUUUAUACUUAAUGCAAUUACUGAUACAUCUAAGUUUGGAGCUGCUGUUUUCUUUUACGUAUACUGUUUGUUUGCAGAUUCUGUGUAUAAAUUCUUUCCUUUCUUGCCGCCUUUUAGAUGAUUUCCCCCAGCUUACCUUGAGGACUUUCGAGCAAACAGACACGUUGAAAGAAUAGACAAGGACCACUUGCAUGCCCCUCAGUUAGAUUCACCAACUGUCAAUAUUUUGCACUGUAUGUAUACACGUACAUGUCUGUGUAUACACAUAUACACAUACAGUCACACAUCGCCCGAUGGCAGGGAUGGUUCUGAGGAAGGCGCUGUUAGGCGAUUUCGUCGCUGUGCGAGCAUCAUAGUGUGAACUUACUCAAACCUAGAUGGCACAGACUCAUCGCCUCCCACACGCCUGGGCUGUAUGGCAGGACCUCCUGCUACCGGGCUACAAACCCAGGCAGGGUGGUACUGUACUGAAUGGUGCAGGUGAUUGUAACACAAUGGUAAGUAUUUGUGCAUGUAAACAUACCUAAACAUAGAAACAGUGUAGUAAAAAUAUGGUAUAAAAGAUCAAAUACAGUACACCUGUACAAGGUCUGCUCUGUUCUAAUCUUAUGGGGCCACCACUGUAUAUGCCGUCUAUUCUUGACAGAAGUGCUUUAUGUGGCACAUGACUGUACAUGGAAAUACACACACACUCACACACAUCCACACACAAGCAUAUGCAUACACACAUAUAUACAUGUAUAUACACGUGCAUAUAACAUAUGUAGAUAUCUGCCAAUUGCUAUCCAACGUGAAUUCCAUAAAUUUACACUCCUACCAGCAGCAUUUGGGUAUCUGAGGUGUCACACAUCCUUGCCAGCACUGGAUAUUAUCCCGGCUUGGAGAUUUUGCCAGCCUGGUGGGUGUGAAGUGGAUCUUGUUGUGGUUUUAAUUUCCAUUUCUCUAAUUAUGCAGAGGCUGAGUGCCAGGCUUCCUCUCCUGGGAAGAGCCUGCCGGCUUGCGGGCUGUCAGCGCUCACUGUGGGUGCGGGUGGCGUGCCUGCCUGCACGGCCCUUGCCUCUCUUAGUCUACAGGGUCUCCACUCCUGAGUUCCCGGAAACAAGAUACAGAUUUCAGAAUGGCACCUGAACAUUGUUUACUGAUUUCCGGCUGGAAGUGAGGGUCCGAGGGAUUCUUCUAUGGAAUUGUAUGACUCAGCAUCUUUCUGAUUGCAAGCAGCAGCAUCGCAGCCUAAAUGAAUCU